GGGCGAUUAGCUCAGUGGUAGAGCGCCUGCCUUACAAGCAGGAUGUCACAAGUUCGACCCUUGUAUCGCCCA
rnacentral:tRNA from 1 species